GACGAACGCUGGCGGCGUGCCUAAUACAUGCAAGUAGAACGCAGUUGCGAACGGGUGAGUAACGCGUAGGUAACUGCCUCAUAGCGGGGGAUAACUAUUGGACACGCUAGCUAAUACCUCAUACUGUGAGAUGGACCUGCGUUGCAUUAGCUAGUUGGUGAGGUAAAGGCUCCACAAGGCGACGAUACAUAGCCGACCUGAGAGGGUGAGCGGCCAAACAGGGACUGGGACACGGCCCAGACUCCUGCGAGAGGCAGCAGUAGGGAAUCUACGGAAAUGGACGGAAGUCUGACCAAGCAACGCCGCAGGAGUGAAGAAGGUUGUCGGAGCGGAAAGCUCUGUUGUUAGAGAAGCGGUAACUAAAAAGAAAGGAACGGCUAAAUACGUGCCAGCAGCCGCGGUAAUAC
rnacentral:rRNA from 1 species